CCUACGGGAGGCUGCAGUGGGGAAUAUUGGACAAUGGGCGAAAGCCUGAUCCAGCCAUGCCGCGUGUGUGAAGAAGCCCUUCGGGUUGUAAAGCACUUUCAGUGGGGAAGAAAGCCUUGGGGCUAAUACCCUCGAGGAAGGACAUCACCCACAGAAGAAGCACCGGCUAACUCCGUGCCAGCAGCCGCGGUAAUACGGAGGGUGCGAGCGUUAAUCGGAAUUACUGGGCGUAAAGCGCGCGUAGGCGGUCUGAUAAGCCGGUUGUGAAAGCCCCGGGCUCAACCUGGGAACGGCAUCCGGAACUGUCAGGCUAGAGUGCAGGAGAGGAAGGUAGAAUUCCCGGUGUAGCGGUGAAAUGCGUAGAGAUCGGGAGGAAUACCAGUGGCGAAGGCGGCCUUCUGGACUGACACUGACGCUGAGGUGCGAAAGCGUGGGUAGCAAACAGGAUUAGAUACCCGAGUAGUC
rnacentral:rRNA from 1 species